rnacentral:misc_RNA from 1 species
CCCCCUCUCCCCUCACAAAACGAACUCUCAGACAUGGCUGAGGCAUGCAGCGUCCAUUAGGAACAGUAGCAAACCAGUUUCUUUGCUUGGAUGAAUGGCUCAAAAUAACAGGGAAAUUCUCCAAAGAAGAUAACGCGCUUUGCAAUUUUCUUACUAAAAGUGAUACCAGUAACUCUUCUGCAAGGCUUGAAUUAGAUGAAAACAGCCUUGCAAACACCUGAAAUCUUUUUUCUAUGAUGUUAUAAUGGUCAGACCUAUCAUGAAGCUUCACCUUUUCACUCAGAUACUGACCAUUGGAUAAGUA